UACGUAGGGUGCAAACGUUGUCCGGAAUUAUUGGGCGUAAAGAGCUCGUAGGCGGUUUGUCGCGUCUGCUGUGAAAUCUGGGGGCUCAACCCCCAGCCUGCAGUGGGUACGGGCAGACUAGAGUGCGGUAGGGGAGAUUGGAAUUCCUGGUGUAGCGGUGGAAUGCGCAGAUAUCAGGAGGAACACCGAUGGCGAAGGCAGAUCUCUGGGCCGUAACUGACGCUGAGGAGCGAAAGCGUGGGGAGCGAAC
rnacentral:rRNA from 1 species